GAUGAACGCUGGCGGCGUGCUUAACACAUGCAAGUCGAACGAAGCAAUUGGAGUGCUUGCACUUUGAUUGACUGAGUGGCGGACGGGUGAGUAACGCGUGAGUAACCUGCCUUACAGAGGGGACAACAGUUGGAAACGACUGCUAAUACCGCAUAACAUAGCGAAGAGGCAUCUCUUUGUUAUCAAAGGAGCAAUCCGCUGUAAGAUGGACUCGCGUCCAAUUAGAUAGUUGUGGGGUAACGGCCUACCAAGGCGACGAUCAGUAGCCGACCUGAGAGGGUGAUCGGCCACAUUGGAACUGAGACACGGUCCAAACUCCUACGGGAGGCAGCAGUGGGGAAUAUUGCACAAUGGGCGAAAGCCUGAUGCAGCAACGCCGCGUGAAGGAAGAAGGUCUUCGGAUCGUAAACUUCUGUCCUUAGGGAAGAUAAUGACGGUACCUUUGGAGGAAGCCCCGGCUAACUACGUG
rnacentral:rRNA from 1 species